rnacentral:rRNA from 1 species
UACGUAGGGGGCAAGCGUUGUCCGGAUUUACUGGGCGUAAAGCGCGUGUAGGCGGCCACGCAGGUCCGUUGUGAAAACUGGAGGCUCAACUUCCAGACGUCGACGGAAACCGUGUGGCUAGAGUCCGGAAGAGGAGAGUGGAAUUUCUGGUGUAGCGGUGAAAUGCGCAGAUAUCAGGAAGAACACCAAUGGCGAAGGCAGCUCUCUGGGACGGUACUGACGCUGAGUCGCGAAAGCGUGGGGAGCGAACAGG